UUCGUCGGUGACGAUCAUGGUAGUCGUUGCUGUAUUUUCACGUAGUCGUGACUCGCAGCUUGCGCUGCGUAUUGAUCGUACGGGAUGCUGCUGCUACUGCUGCUACUGCUACUACUGCUGCUGCUAGCUGUUGCUGGUUACUGGCUGCUAGCUGCUCCAGCGCCAGCUAACAGUGAGCCCUACACCAAGGACCAAUAGGGUGCCAACACUCUCUCUCCCUCUCUUGAUUUUCAAUAUACUUGGUUUAUACCCACCACUACGGAUUUCCAAAAAUGAAAGUAAAUGUGAUAAUUUUUUUUUUUUUUUUUUUUUUAGGUAAUUGCUGGUUGAUUGAUUCCGGCAGAAGUGGUAAUUGAUUAUAGAGAAACAUAGGAAGACAAUGACCAAUAUUUUUUCAGUUGCACCCUUUGAGGAAUAAAGGAACGGUUUGUAGUUGGAAAAUAGAAUGUGUAGGUUGAAAUUGGAAAAUAGUACAGACAUGAAACUGGUACAAAAUAUUAUAUUACAUUACUGUGAAAUAUUACAUAUACGAGAAAAUCUUGGCCACAAUUUUACACAAUAUAUCCUGCACAUACUCAGAGUCCAUCAGUCAUGUAGCACAUGUGUCGCAUGUGUGCGAAAUGUGAACAUGAAACCAACGACCCGACUUCUGCCUAUCAAACGUCGAACCUUCAUCUAAUUAUACUACGAUCUUAAAAUAACCUAACUUCAUCAUUAACUACACUACACCUAUCAUUUGUACAAAUAAUACUACACGCUGCUCUUUCUUUACCAGGUACAAAAGAGAAAAGAGACAUGUUUUAUAACUUAACUAUAUUUCUUCUAAUAUACGAGGGAUAUAAAUGAAUCGCAAAUAUCGAGGAAAGCGCGCGUUCACCGACACCUACGCCUCGGUGCAGAAAUGUCGGACAACUAUCAAUGGUUGGAACACGUCCGUAGUGUCUCGAUGAAAAUACCGGCGAAAGGUGAAUGGUUUGCAGUACGUGAAAAUAGUUUCACUACACAAGGCUAGCUAUGUCGUAAAGUCGGCCGUAGCCGGGAAGAACCGAUCGAGCCGAAAACGAAAGCAAACGCCAGGCCGUGACUGCCAAGUCCAACGAACCUGCCACUUGGCAGCCGACAUUCGUAUUCAAAAGUAACUUUAAUACAGUUCAACUUGCCUAAACCUAAAUCCACUUUAACCGUAGAAGCGUUGGUGCUGGCACAGAAAACUGUCACUGGCAUCCGAGGAAUUGACGACGGUGAUCAUUCACGACGGUCAGCCGAUGAGUCAGCCGAUUUUCUUCAAUGAAAUUUCUUCCUUAUCCCGUAUUAUCAAGCACUGGCGGAUUUAGAAGGUUCCGAUCGAACGUGAGAAACACGUAUGCGAAAUUAUUAUUUGAUGCACAAGGAUGAAUCACGUAAAUGACUCACGGAGGGAAUAGAUGCGCAGGGUGUAAUUUAUGCAUGCACGCCGUUGGAACUAAGUUUACAAAGUGUCCCGCGUAAUUUAUAGCCACGUAAUACGUGCGCAACUACUUUGACAAGGAAGCAAAGUUGUAAAAUAGAAUGUGUUAUUUUAUUGACAAUUUAUAGGGUUCAGUUGCAAAAUGUGAUACGAGAUCUUUACAAAGGGAUCUUUAGUGUCAAAACAUAGGUUUCGACAUGAAAUAUAAAUACAUAGAAGACGAUACUUGAUCAAUAAUGUAGGCCAAUAGAAAAUACUUUGCCAAUACACAAAGAUUGAUAGACUCCAGACAAGUUAACCCAAAAAUACGGUUCCCCUUGUUGAGCAUCCACUUUUUACAAGCAAUAUAGCUUCGAGGG